rnacentral:rRNA from 1 species
UAGAAAGAUUCCGGUUGAUCCUGCCGGACCCCACUGCUAUCGGGAUAGGACUAAGACAUGCUAGUCGAGUGCUCUCUAGCCAUGAUGAGAGCACGGCACACAGCUCAGUAACACGUGGCUAACCUGCCCUCGGGACGGGAAUACCCCCGGGAAACUGGGGCUAAUUCCCGAUAGGUGAAGAACUCUGGAAUGAGUCUCCGCCCAAAAGACGCUUAGAUCAUGCUUCUAGGCGCCGCCCGAGGAUGGGGCCGCGACCGAUCAGGUUGUUGGUGAGGUAACGGCCCACCAAGCCUAUAACCAGUACGGGCUGUGAGAGCGGAAGCCCGGAGAUGGGCACUGAGACAAGGGCCCAGGCCCUACGGGGCGCAGCAGGUGCGAAAACUCCACAAUGCACGAAAGUGUGAUGGGGCCAUCCCGAGUGCUGUCCGUUGAGGAUAGCUUUUCUCCAGUGUAAGGAUCUGAAGGAAUAAAGGGGGGGCAAGUCUGGUGUCAGCCGCCGCGGUAAUACCAGCCCCCUGAGUAAUAGGGACGAUUAUUUAGCCUAAAGCGUCCGUAGCCGGCUUAGAAAGUCUUUCGUCAAAUCUGACGACUUAAUCGCUAGAGUGCGGAAGAUACUACUAGGCUUGAGGGCGGGAGAGGUUGACGGUAGUCCAGGAGUAGGGGUGAAAUCUUAUAAUCCCUGGAGGACCACCAGUGGCGAAGGCGGUCGACUGGAACGCGCCUGACGGUGAUGGACGAAAGCUGGGGUAGCGAACCGGAUUAGACACCCGGGUAGUCCCAGCUGUAAACGAUGCGGGCUAGGUGUUGGGGCAGCUACGUGCUGCUCCAGUGCCGCAGAGAAGUCGUUAAGCCUGCCGCUUGGGAAGUACGGCCGCAAGGCUGAAACUUAAAGGAAUUGGCGGGGGAGCACCACAAGGGGUGAAGCCUGCGGUUU